UACGUAGGGGGCAAGCGUUGUCCGGAAUCAUUGGGCGUAAAGCGCGCGUAGGCGGCCCGGUAAGUCCGCCGUGAAAGUCCAGGGCUCAACCCUGGAAUGCCGGUGGAAACUGUCGGGCUGGAGUCCGGAAGAGGCGAGUGGAAUUCCUGGUGUAGCGGUGAAAUGCGCAGAUAUCAGGAGGAACACCGAUGGCGAAGGCAGGUCUCUGGGCCACUACUGACGCUGAGAAGCGAAAGCAUGGGGAGCGAACAGG
rnacentral:rRNA from 1 species